rnacentral:rRNA from 1 species
GAUGAACGCUGGCGGCGUGCCUAAUACAUGCAAGUCGAGCGAACGGACGAGAAGCUUGCUUCUCUGAUGUUAGCGGCGGACGGGUGAGUAACACGUGGAUAACCUACCUAUAAGACUGGGAUAACUUCGGGAAACCGGAGCUAAUGCCGGAUGAUAUUUUGAACCGCAUGGUUAAAAAGUGAAAGACGGUCUUGCUGUCACUUAUAGAUGGAUCCGCGCUGCAUUAGCUAGUUGGUAAGGUAACGGCUUACCAAGGCAACGAUGCAUAGCCGACCUGAGAGGGUGAUCGGCCACACUGGAACUGAGACACGGUCCAGACUCCUACGGGAGGCAGCAGUAGGGAAUCUUCCGCAAUGGGCGAAAGCCUGACGGAGCAACGCCGCGUGAGUGAUGAAGGUCUUCGGAUCGUAAAACUCUGUUAUUAGGGAAGAACAUAUGUGUAAGUAACUGUGCACAUCUUGACGGUACCUAAUCAGAAAGCCACGGCUAACUACGUG